rnacentral:rRNA from 1 species
CCUACGGGAGGCAGCAGUGGGGAAUAUUGGGCAAUGGGCGCAAGCCUGACCCAGCAACGCCGCGUGAAGGAAGAAGGCCCUCGGGUUGUAAACUUCUUUUAUUCGGGACGAAACAAAUGACGGUACCGAAUGAAUAAGCCACGGCUAACUACGUGCCAGCAGCCGUGGUAAUACGUAGGUGGCAAGCGUUAUCCGGAUUUACUGGGGGUAAAGGGCGUGUAGGCGGGAGUGCAAGUCAGACGUGAAAAUCCAGGGCUCAUCCCUGGCACUGCGUUUGAAAGUGUUCGUCGUGAGUGAUGGAGGGGCAGGCGGAAUUCCGUGUGUAGCGGUGAAAGGAGUAGAUAUGCGGAGGAGAACGAG